GGAACAAACCAGUGACAGUUGACUAAGUCACGAUUAUCACGUGUUGAUGUGGAAAAGAGUGGCCGCUGGCUUGCCUGUGCAGAAUUUAAAUAGAGUAAUUAAUGCGCGAGGAUAAGGAAAGGUAAAAAAUUGCAGUAAAUCUUGCUGCCGCGGACAUAGGGAUCAUAUUACAGUCAGUUGGUAGUUUGACUCUCUGUCUAGCCCUGUCCGUAAGCCAGCCAAACCCGGCUAGGAAAAGGGGUCAUUAAAGAAGUUCAGUAUUUACAAGUGCAAGUGCAAGUGAGCGGAAGAGUUGUUACGGCCGACUGGCAGCAAGAUACCCCCAGAACUAGGGCUUGGCCUUCUGGAUUAUGCUGUUUAGUGAGUACCCGCCGCGCGCUGACAACGCGUCGCCUUGAAUGGUGUGACUUGUAGAGUUCUAGUUUUCAAUAAGGCUGGUGCGCGACUAGAUUAGCAGUGAUUGUGUGGCACCGAGUGGCGUUCUAUUCCGUGUCGUGCCCCUGGAACCACGGUGCUUGCUGAUAAGUGACUGUCGUUGUUGUGGCUGCUGUCCGGCUCCGUAGGCUGUGUAAGGUAGCACAAACGGUGGACACCACUCGUCAGUACCGGUUGCUGCUGAGUCUGCUGCCCCACCGAGGCGUCCUUCCAGCCCACAAAGGAGAAGGAUUAUCAUUUUGAUACGGUGUACUGGAAUUUUAAUGGUUUACAUGAAUGGACUUGGCAAUGACCCUCUGUCUGCGAAGGAGGCAGAGGGCCCACCAGUCCAGCUGGAACCAGUCGAUCUCAGCGUCCGUUCACCCCCAAAAGGUAAGUGAACACGAGG